CCUACGGGGGGCAGCAGUGGGGAAUCUUGCACAAUGGGCGCAAGCCUGAUGCAGCGACGCCGCGUGGGGGACGAAGGCCCUCGGGUUGUAAACCCCUUUCGGCAGGGAAGAAGCGCAAGUGACGGUACCUGCAGAAGAAGCUCCGGCUAACUACGUGCCAGCAGCCGCGGUAAGACGUAGGGAGCGAGCGUUGUCCGGAUUCAUUGGGCGUAAAGCGCGCGUAGGCGGUUUGGCAAGUCGGAUGUGAAAUCCCGAGGCUCAACCUCGUGACUGCAUCCGAUACUGCCCGACUAGAGGUAGGUAGGGGAGAUCGGAAUUCCUGGUGUAGCGGUGAAAUGCGCAGAUAUCAGGAGGAACACCGGUGGCGAAGGCGGAUCUCUGGGCCUUACCUGACGCUCAGGCGCGAAAGCUAGGGGAGCAAACAGGAUUAGAUACCCUA
rnacentral:rRNA from 1 species